UGACCUCAAAUCAGGUAGGAUUACCCGCUGAACUUAAGCAUAUCAAUAAGCGGAGGAAAAGAAACUAACAAGGAUUCCCCUAGUAACUGCGAGUGAAGCGGGAAGAGCUCAAAUUUUAAAUCUGGCGGUCCUCGUGGUCGUCCGAGUUGUAAUCUAGAGAAGCGUUUUCCGCGCUGGACCGUGUACAAGUCUCCUGGAACGGAGCGUCAUAGAGGGUGAGAAUCCCGUCUCUGACACGGACUACCAGGGCUUUUGUGAUGCGCUCUCGACGAGUCGAGUUGUUUGGGAAUGCAGCUCAAAUUGGGUGGUAAAUUCCAUCUAAAGCUAAAUAUAGGCGAGAGACCGAUAGCGAACAAGUACCGUGAGGGAAAGAUGAAAAGAACUUUGGAAAGAGAGUUAAACAGUACGUGAAAUUGCUGAAAGGGAAACGCUUGAAGUCAGUCGCGUUGGCCGGGGAUCAGCCUUGCAAUCUUGUUGGGUGCAUUUCCUGGUUGACGGGUCAGCAUCAAUUUUGACCGUCGGAGAAGGGUUGAGGGAAUGUGGCAUCCUUCGGGGUGUGUUAUAGCCUUUGAUCGUAUGCGACGGUUGGGAUUGAGGAACUCAGCAUGACCCCUCGUGGGUUUGGGGCUUCGGCUCACAUCCAUGCUUAGGAUGCUGGCAUAAUGGCUUUAAGCGACCCGUCUUGAAACACGGACCAAGGAG
rnacentral:ncRNA from 1 species